UUGGAGGGCAAGUCUGGUGCCAGCAGCCGCGGUAAUUCCAGCUCCAAUAGCGUAUAUUAAAGUUGUUGCAGUUAAAAAGCUCGUAGUUGAAUUUCGGGAUUGACACAUCGGUCGUGCCUUAAGGGGUAUGAACUGGUGUAGUCAAUUUCUCACCUUCUGGAGAACCACGAUGCCCUUAAUUGGGUGUCGCGGGGAACCAGGACCUUUACUUUGAAAAAAUUAGAGUGUUUAAAGCAGGC
rnacentral:rRNA from 1 species